GGAAUUGGUUGGGUUCUGAAGUUUUUAACUCUUGCGUUCAAAAACAUGUGUUGUCUACACGCUUGAUUGUAGUUGCGAUUAUGAUUAACUGUAAGAUAGACACACAGAGAGAGAGAGAGAGAGAGAGAGAUAGGAGAAUGUCUGUCAAUUCUAUCUCUUUCCGAGUUAAUAACCGAUUUGGAAGCAGAAGCUUUGUGUUUUGUUUGAUUUGGCCUUCCCAAU